rnacentral:lncRNA from 1 species
UACAGAGGGAAAGAACAAUAAGCAAAUGAAGUAAAAUGUUGGCAGUAGCAUCAUCCAAGACUACUGCUGUGGCUAUGGCAGCGAGAAUUUACUUUAGUAUGUCUGUAGCUGUUGGCUGCUUUGAUUGCGGACAGCAUGUACGAGUUUUUGCUACUGGUGGUGGAGCCAGGAUUCUAAUGGGCUGUUUCUCCACAGCUCUGAUCUAAGCCUCCCAUUAUGGAGAAUCUUCAGAGGAGCACACGUCUUUGCUGGCUGGCAUAUCAACAUUCAUGAUCCUGGCAUGUGGAAGAAUACUCUGAUUAUUGCCCAAGACAUUAGCAUUAAAAAUUCCUUCUAAGGCAUUUCUUUAUUCUUAAGUAAAUCCUGUUAAGGAAAAAUAGGAAUGUAUAAGCGAUUAAUAAAUUAAGGUGAGUUACUUUCUAAUUUGACAGAAUUGGGAGCUUUUAGCAAAUAAGGACAUUGCCCAGAGAGGAAAAGCAGAUAAUUCAGAGUGCUCAGAAGCUAGAGUUGGCUUUUUAGGGGAACUAACUUAAGAGUAAAGAGACUCCUUUAUGUCUAUUUAUUGUUUAUGAAAUUGAUGUAGAUGUUACUUUAAUAAUUGACUUACAUAACAUUAUUGAUAUUUUUCUACCCUGAUUUUUCAAGUGAUCUGUGUUCUUUAUAUUUUGACUUCUCUAUAAUAUUUUGCACAAAUGAUAAUCAGAAAUCACAAUGUGCUAAGUCUAAAUGAACUUUAGAAAGAGAAUGACAAACAAUUUGAUUCAAGAUUAACAUUAUAAUUGACAUUCUUAAAAAAAUAUUUCAGCAUUACUACAUAAGGAUCAUGUUACUUUUGUAAUUUUUCUAUUGUUAUGUGAUAAAUCAAAGAGGUAAAGAAAAAUAAAGGAUACAAGACAAAUGAUUAGAGUUCAUUGUAAGCUGGGAAGAAAGCAAUUCUUGUUAACUAAGUCAAAUUGAAAGCGAAUACACCUAAGAAAGUGUAAAGAUCACUAUUACAUUUUGUCUAAUGGGUACAUCAAAUUAAUGCAAAUUACUCCUGCCCCCAAAAAGGGUUCAUAAAUGAGAAGUUUUCUAAGGCAAAAGUGUCAUUGUAGUGUAACUUUGAGUAGGUACAUGUCCCUAUCAGCUGAUCUUAUCUUCCAAGCCUACAAUUAUUAAUCCUCUGUGUGUAGUGCUUAAAAUGUGGUACUUCACAUAAGAGGGCUGUAAAGAAAGAACGAAGACUUGUAAAGUGCCAAAGGGAGAGGAUCUCAGGUCCAUUUGGUUGAUUAACAGUCGUUAUUACGAGGAAAAUUACAGGAAAGAAUCUGUAGCCCAGGACAGAGCUCUUAACUCCAGAUUGCAUGAUAUUGGGAAUAUAACCAGAGCAGAGUUCAGAUGAAAAGCCUGGCAGCGGUGACCAGUGGUAUUAAAACACAUAGUGAUCUAAUAAAUAGCCCUUCAUGUUGCUCAGUGGUUGGGGAAGGCUUCU